rnacentral:rRNA from 1 species
UCGAGGAUCUUCGGCAAUGGGCGCAAGCCUGACCGAGCGACGCCGCGUGUGCGAUGAAGGCCUUCGGGUUGUAAAGCACUGUCGAGGGGGAGGAAGCCGCAAGGUUGACCUAUCCCUGGAGGAAGCACGGGCUAAGUUCGUGCCAGCAGCCGCGGUAAGACGAACCGUGCAAACGUUAUUCGGAAUCACUGGGCUUAAAGGGCGCGUAGGCGGGUCGGAUAGUCUGCGGUGAAAUCCUCCAGCUUAACUGGAGAACUGCCGUGGAUACUCCCGGUCUCGAGGAGGGUAGGGGCAUCUGGAACAGCCGGUGGAGCGGUGAAAUGCGUUGAUAUCGGCUGGAACUCCGGUGGCGAAGGCGAGAUGCUGGACCCUUUCUGACGCUGAGGCGCGAAAGCCAGGGGAGCGAACGG